GGGAAAAGCGUCGAGUAAUUUAUAAUCAAUUGAUAUCGAUUAAUGGUUUGAUUAUUUAUUAAGUUGAAUUAAGUAAAAGUGGAGUUGAAGCCGCCGCCGUCAUGAUCAUUUCCGGCGAAACGGCAGGUAAAAGAAGAUGUUGCUCGGAUUUCUCAGAAUGAGUUUCGAGAUCCCAUUUCUGAGGCUGUUUCACACCUCCCCUUUUCCUGUAUAUGCAGUACAGGAUGAGCUGCAGGAUGCCUAGUGGGCUACCAACAAGAUUCGGAGACUGUAAAACAGACCACAGUUCGAAAAGUUAGUUAUCUAAAUCAGCCAUUUCCCUUACAAAAAAUAGACCUCAUGAUCACACUAACCGCAAGAAAAAGAUCAUGGCUUAAUAGUCCAUACGCCAUCCAAAGGGAGCUGGCUAGAAACGAGAAGAGUGACAGAAGUAGUACUACUUACCAUAGCCACCAGUGGAGAGCCAUACAUUGCUACAGAUGCUACCAGUCCUAUGCUUCCAACAAACGCCUUUCGAUGAUGGUGAUCGUGGAAUGCAAAUGCUGAUAGUAGCACGACUGAACUGGACAGCAGGAGAACAGGUAGAGUCAUCAUAACCACCUUUUUCUGCAAUUUCAUCAAAGCUAUGUUGAUAUACAUGAUAUGGAAGGCUUGUUGUUUGUUUUAUGUACGAUAACUUGCCUUUCCAUCGGUUGAAGCGUAGUAGAAAUAUAUUAAUAUGAAAGAUAGCUCCAGAAGAAUGCCUAUUCCAUUGAUUGUAACCACUGGAAAGUUUUCCCAUUUGUAACUUACAACUGGCAAGCCAUACCAAGUAUAAAGAACACAGUUCAACAGAGCCAUGAUAUAUGGCACA